rnacentral:rRNA from 1 species
GACGAACGCUGGCGGCGUGCUUAACACAUGCAAGUCGAACGAUGAAGCUAGAGCUUGCUCUGGUGAAUUAGUGGCGAACGGGUGAGUAACACGUGAGUAACCUGCCCCGAACUCUGGGAUAACUGCUGGAAACGGUAGCUAAUACUGGAUACGACCUACGAAGGCAUCUUCUGUAGGUGGAAAGAAUUUCGGUUCGGGAUGGACUCGCGGCCUAUCAGCUUGUUGGUGAGGUAAUGGCUCACCAAGGCGACGACGGGUAGCCGGCCUGAGAGGGUGACCGGCCACACUGGGACUGAGACACGGCCCAGACUCCUACGGGAGGCAGCAGCGGGGAAUAUUGCGCAAUGGACGAAAGUCUGACGCAGCGACGCCUCGUGAGGGACGAAGGUCUUCGGAUUGUAAACCUCUUUCAGCAGGGACGAAGCGAAAGUGACGGUACCUGCAGAAGAAGCACCGGCUAACUAUGUGCCAGCAGCCGCCGUAA